rnacentral:rRNA from 1 species
UGAAUACGAGACGCUAAGGCGUCGAAGUAGUGUAUGUCAUACUUCCAAGAAAAGCUUGCACUGUCAUAGAUAAAAAACGCCUGUACCAUAACCGACACAGGUGGGUAGGUAGAGUAUACUAAGGGGCGCGAGAUAACUCUCUCUAAGGAACUCGGCAAAAUAACUCCGUAACUUCGGGAGAAGGAGUGCCUUAUUCGUAAGGUUGCAAUAACAAGAUCCAAGCAACUGUUUAUCAAAAACACAGGUCUCCGCUAAGUCGUAAGACGAUGUAUGGGGGCUGACGCCUGCCCAGUGCCAGAAGGUUAAAGAAGUUGGUUAGCAAUUGCGAAGCUGAUAACUGAAGCCCUGGUGAACGGCGGCCGUAACAAUAACGGUCCUAAGGUAGCGAAAUUCCUUGUCGGGUAAGUUCCGACCCGCACGAAAGGCGUAAUGAUUUGGAUACUGUCUCGGAGAGGGGCUCGGUGAAAUAGACUUGUCUGUGAAGAUGCGGACUACCUGCACCAGGACAGAAAGACCCUAUGAAGCUUUACUGUAACUUGAAAUUGAAAUUGGACUUUAUUCGCGCAGUAUAGGUGGGAGGCGUUGAUUAUAAUCUUGUGGGAUUAUUGGAGCCAUCAGUGAGAUACCACUCUUGUAAUGUUAGAUUUCUAACUUUGAAUCAUUAUCUGGUCAAAGAACAGUUUCAGGCGGGCAGUUUGACUGGGGCGGUCGCCUCCUAAACGGUAACGGAGGCGUUCAAAGGUUUCCUCUGAACGGUUAGAAAUCGUAUCUAGAGUGUAAAGGCAUAAGGAAGCUUGACUGUGAGACCUACAAGUCGAGCAGGGACGAAAGUCGGUCUUAGUGAUCUGACGGUACUGAGUGGAAAGGCCGUCACUCAACGGAUAAAAGUUACUCUAGGAUAACAGGCUGAUCUCCCCCAAGAGUUCACAUCGACGGGGAGGUUUGGCACCUCGAUGUCGGCUCAUCGCAUCCUGGGGCGGUAGUACGUCCCAAGGGUUGGGCUGUUCGCCCAUGAAAGCGGUACGCGAGCUGGGUUCAGAACGUCGUGAGACAGUUCGGUCCAUAUCCGGUGUAGGCGUUAGAAUAUUGAGAGGAGCCUUCCUUAGUACGAGAGGACCGAGAAGGACAUACCUCUGGUGUACCAGUUAUCGUGCCAACGGUAAACGCUGGGUAGCUAUGUAUGGAGUGGAUAACCGCUGAAAGCAUCUAAGUGGGAAGCCCACCUCAAGAUAAGUAUUCUCA